rnacentral:piRNA from 2 species
UGUGGGCUGAGACAAUGUUGCCACUGGGUUC